CCUACGGGAGGCAGCAGUGGGGAAUUGUUCGCAAUGGGCGCAAGCCUGACGACGCAACGCCGCGUGGAGGAUGAAGAUUUUCGGAUCGUAAACUCCUUUCGAUCGAGACGAAUGGCCUCUGGGCUAACAUCCCGGAGGAAUGACGGUACCGAGAGAAGAAGCCCCGGCUAACUCCGUGCCAGCAGCCGCGGUAAUACGGGGGGGGCAAGCGUUGUUCGGAAUUACUGGGCGUAAAGGGCUCGUAGGCGGCCAACUAAGUCAGACGUGAAAUCCCUCGGCUUAACCGGGGAACUGCGUCUGAUACUGGAUGGCUUGAGUUCGGGAGAGGGAUGCGGAAUUCCAGGUGUAGCGGUGAAAUGCGUAGAUAUCUGGAGGAACACCGGUGGCGAAGGCGGCAUCCUGGACCGAUACUGACGCUGAGGAGCGAAAGCCAGGGGAGCAAACGGGAUUAGAUACCCGAGUAGUC
rnacentral:rRNA from 1 species